rnacentral:rRNA from 1 species
UAACCUGCCCAAGAGACUGGGAUAACACCUGGAAACAGAUGCUAAUACCGGAUAACAACACUAGACGCAUGUCUAGAGUUUAAAAGAUGGUUCUGCUAUCACUCUUGGAUGGACCUGCGGUGCAUUAGCUAGUUGGUAGGGUAACGGCUUACCAAGGCAAUGAUGCAUAGCCGAGUUGAGAGACUGAUCGGCCACAUUGGGACUGAGACACGGCCCAAACUCCUACGGGAGGCAGCAG